UACGUAGGGUGCGAGCGUUAAUCGGAAUUACUGGGCGUAAAGGGUGCGCAGGCGGUUCUGUAAGUCAGAUGUGAAAUCCCCGGGCUUAACCUGGGAACUGCGUUUGAAACUACAGGACUAGAGUGUGGCAGAGGGGGGUGGAAUUCCAUGUGUAGCAGUGAAAUGCGUAGAGAUAUGGAGGAACAUCGAUGGCGAAGGCAGCCCCCUGGGUUAACACUGACGCUCAUGCACGAAAGCGUGGGGAGCAAACAGG
rnacentral:rRNA from 1 species